GAAGAAUUGUAAUUUAAUACUCCACUCUGUCCUUGUCAAUUUAGUUUAAUCCUACUUAUUUGCGGGGAUAUUUCGAAAUAAGGGUGUUACUGUAAAAUGGGUUGACCUAAAAAUGGAUACAUGAAAAUCGAAUUGGGUUUUUCAGCCGUGAUUAUUUAUCUGUGGACUGGAAAUUAAGUAGUACGUCAGGGUACAACCCCCGCGUGCGGCAAUUCUUCUCCAGUGAGCAUCCACAAUCAGAGAGUGAAGAGAUAGAAAUAGAUAGAGAGAGCCAAAUCCGCGCCGAAAAUGGGUGCGAGCAGCGAUCCGAACCAAGACGGAUCGGACGAGCAGCAGCGCCGCUCGGAAAUCUACACCUACGAAGCCCCAUGGCACAUCUACGCCAUGAACUGGAGCGUCCGCAAGGACAAGAAAUACCGCCUCGCAAUCGCCAGCCUCCUCGAGCAGUUCCCUAACCGCGUCGAAAUCGUCCAGCUCGACGACUACACCGGCGAGAUCCGCUCCGACUCCGCCAUCUCCUUCGACCACCCCUACCCCCCUACCAAGCUCAUCUUCGUCCCCGACAAGGACUGCCAGCGCCCCGAUCUCCUCGCCUCCUCCUCCGAUUUCCUCCGCCUCUGGCAGAUCUCCGACUCCGACUCCUCCUCCCGCCGCGUCGAGCUCAAGUGCCUCCUCAACAACAACCGCAACAGCGAAUUCUCCGGCCCGCUCACCUCCUUCGACUGGAACGAAGCCGAGCCGCGCCGGAUCGGGACCUCCAGCAUCGACACCACCUGCACGAUUUGGGACAUCGAGAAGGAGGUGGUCGAUACGCAGCUCAUCGCGCACGAUAAGGAGGUCUACGACAUCGCCUGGGGCGGCGUUGGCGUUUUCGCGUCUGUCUCCGCCGACGGCUCGGUUAGGGUUUUCGAUCUCCGCGACAAGGAGCAUUCGACUAUAAUUUACGAGAGCUCGGAGCCGGACACGCCGCUGGUGCGGCUCGGCUGGAACAAGCAGGAUCCGAGAUACAUGGCGACAAUCAUAAUGGACAGUAGCAAGGUCGUGGUGUUGGAUAUUCGCUUCCCGACGCUGCCGGUGGUGGAGCUGCAGCGGCAUCAGGCAGGUGUGAAUGCGAUUGCGUGGGCGCCGCAUAGCUCCUGCCACAUUUGCACGGCGGGGGAUGAUUCGCAGGCUUUGAUUUGGGACCUCUCGUCGAUGGGGCAGCCGGUGGAGGGCGGGUUGGACCCCAUUCUGGCGUACACUGCCGGGGCGGAGAUUGAGCAGCUGCAGUGGUCGUCCUCGCAGCCGGAUUGGGUGGCGAUUGCGUUUUCGAACAAGCUACAGAUUCUGAGGGAGUCAUGAUGUUUUGCUCAACGACUCAAAGUGCUUGGUGUUUAAGAGUCCAGCAGGUUGAAGAAGGUGUGUUGUAGAUUAAGCAGUGUGACAGUGGUCUGCGGUUAAACGAUGGCGGAUUAACUGGGUUUGGCUGACCUUGGAAUUUUGGUUCGAAGUCCUACAUGAUACUCUAUCAUAGAUGGGCAGAUUAUGCUCUACAGCCUCUACUAGUACCAAAAGGCCCAAAACUAUAUGAAGACAACCAUUCUUGUUAACAAAUUUUACACAUUUCCUAUCUAUCUUUCUGUUUUUUGUUCUUAGAUUAUGUUAAGAUGCUUUAUCCUCUAGUGUACCAUGACGCGAUCUUUAAAUUUCUAUUCAUUUGCCUAUCAGAAAAAAGUGGAGGCUGUGUUUGAUUUGAUUUCUUUAGAUCAAUCUGAUGAAAACCAGUUUGUCUAAUACAGUAUAGUUCUGUGAUAUGCAAUGAUAUUCCAAUUUACGCAUGGUUGGAAGAUCAAUUUGAUGUCCAAAGGAUCGUGUAUCCGAACAACCGGGUUUGUUUUUACCUUAUACAACGGCCAAUGGUAUAUGUCUAUGAUAAGGAGGAGAAUCUUGAUUUCAGUCUCUUCAUUUUAUCUCUACCAAUUCUCUUACCAUUGAAUCUGAAACUACAUUUGGGUCCAUUGUUACUUGUUAGUUCCUGACAUGCAGACUUGGCAAUAUCUUCAUACUUCUUGUCUGAAGCUUCACCUGUAAGGUUUGCAGUAAGCUGAUUCCGUCGUUGUGGACUUUCAUGAAAUAUAUAACAUACCCCAAUAAUUUAGUUGAGAUGGUUUUCGAAAAGAUGGUGUUUGGUUUGGUGGAAGCUUGUUACAUGAAAUUGAGAAAAUUAUGAUUUAUUUCUUUGUGUUCGACUUAAUUAUCAUUUUCCAGCUGUAAGGACUAAUCACAAGAUUUACCCAUGGGUUGGAGACUUUUUUGUGUUCAUUCCUCAUCGAUGUUGGCACAACUUGAACCGAUCUAUGGGUUCGACAUCUAUACUUGGAUUUCAAACACGAAUGAAAUUAUAAUUAUAUCA